CUCGGGCAAGUUAUCACAAAACAGGGAGAAUCCCGGCACCUAACUCGGAACGGUCACAGGCUGAGAUGAUACUACUGUGUGAAGUGCGCAGAGCGGUGUUGGGCACAUGGUCAUCGGAACUAUAUAAGAACUGAAGCGUGGCAAGAUUAAGGAAGUUGCUCAACUUCACAUAGCCAGAACAUGACUCUAGGGAGUAGAGGCUAGCGAAGUGGGGUGCAAGAGGUCAUCCAAAUUUCUUGAAAUACCAGAUCUUUUUACCUCAUCAUAUAUGUUAGAUUGUCAGUUUUAUCGUUUUCUUCCCAGCUUUAUUAUUUGACAAAAAAAUUAUAUAUAUUCAAGGUGUACAAUGUGAUGACUGGAUAUAAUUAUACAUUGUGUAAUGAUUACCAAAAUCAAAUUAAUUAAAACAUCCUUCACUAA
rnacentral:antisense_RNA from 1 species